rnacentral:lncRNA from 1 species
GAUAAUUUCUUUGGCUCUAACAGAGCAAAUCUAUAGACACCCAAGAUUGCUAAAGCUACCAGGAACCUCAGAGGCCCUCUGACUCAGGGAUGGCAAACUCACUUGGUCUGGGACAGGUUGACUUGGGCCAUGUGUGACUCUGCUGACCCAGAUGAGACUGGAAAAAAACCCCAAUUUUAAAUGCUGGCCAUUAAUUGAACUAAUGGCAAGAGCAAUGUUUCUUCAGGCUAGAUCUGUCCUUGGGGCAGCUAAUUUAGGACCUCUUGCAAUCCUAUUCCAGCACUGGAAAUCUGCAUUUUAAAUAAGCCCCCU